UACACACCGCCCGUCACACCAUGAAAGUUGUGCCUACCAGAAGUCAUUGCGUUAACCGUAAGGGGACAGAUGCCCAAGGUAGGAACGAUGAUUGGGGUG
rnacentral:rRNA from 1 species